CGUAGGUGAGGUCCGUGUCGCUGUCGUCCUCCCCGGCCGCGUCUCGAUUUUGAGCCGAUUCCUCAGCCGUCGCGCCGGGAUGAGGCUGCACCCAGUCCUCUGCCUGGAGCUCUGGGAGGAGACGGGAGGUUAGUGGUGGGGCGUCGGACAUAUUGACAUUUUAGCGUAGAAAAGAAAGUGGGACAUGGCUUUUCAAACUAAAAAGAAAAAGUCUUGAGCUUCUAUGAAACAAAUCUGAUAAGUGUGUCAUUCCUGUCGUUAGGAGGGCAAUUUUGAGAACCUCAGCAGUUGAAAUGUUUUCACCCUCUCCAGAGCCUGCUGUGUUCAGCUCUGCAUCCAUUUGCAGAUGAACUAGAGAUCAGUUAAACCAUUAAGUGAUUUUGAACAUCAAAGUGAACGUGACUCUCUACCUUCACAUUUUAGGUUUUUACUUCAGAAUUCCCUGCUGAAGGAGGCAGCAUGAUACUGCCACUGCCAUGCUUCAGGAAGGGGAUGCAUGCCACACACUUUGGACAAAAAAGUGUUGAUCUAUCUCAUCGAAGGUCAUGAAGAGAAAGCAGUACGCCUGUGCCUCAGGAGCCCUGCUCAGACCGAGACCCAAGUUGUGGUCCCUAACAACCGGCGAAGACGCCGCGGCCCUUCUUGGCGUCGCAGUGCGGGCCCGCCGGCUCCUUUUUGUGCGAGUCUGUAGGGAGGAAUGGUAAUCAGGCAACAGGAAGUUCUACGCACAUACUUCCUCUGGGAUGACAACAGACAGACUGGCUUUACGUUGGGGGUUGUACUGAGGACAAACAGAUCAAAGGUCAGCUCCAGGUUGGUGAAGAAGUGGUCGGCGAACUCCGGGUACAUGUCGAGCACCUCCAGGAUCUCCUCCCUCUGGAUCGUGUGCAGGUCGCAGUAGCUGAGUGCGCGGACAUCGGCGCACGACUUCCCCGGCUUGGCGAACAGGUGGAUCAUCUCGCCGAAGAUGUCGUUUUUACCUGAAGAGCACGUAGGAGGACGACAGACGUGUUACUCAAAGAUAAGAAAACACAAGUCGGGACUCACUUAUUCAUCGGAGGAGUGAUGUGGUUCACGUUUUUCACAGAAACAGCCGUAUCUGUAACCGAUGGUAGAGGUGCAGAAACCUCUGUAAAUUAAAAAAAUACAUUCCGCUGACUCGUUUGAAAGAUUAAAAUAUCUUUUUAAAAUCACA